AUUGAACGCUGGCGGCAGGCCUAACACAUGCAAGUCGGACGGUAGCACAGAGGAGCUUGCUCCUCGGGUGACGAGUGGCGGACGGGUGAGUAAUGUCUGGGGAUCUGCCCGAUAGAGGGGGAUAACCACUGGAAACGGUGGCUAAUACCGCAUAACGUCGCAAGACCAAAGAGGGGGACCUUCGGGCCUCUCACUAUCGGAUGAACCCAGAUGGGAUUAGCUAGUAGGCGGGGUAACGGCCCACCUAGGCGACGAUCCCUAGCUGGUCUGAGAGGAUGACCAGCCACACUGGAACAGAGACCCGGUCCAAACUCCUACGGGAGGCAGCAGUGGGGAAUAUUGCACAAUGGGCGCAAGCCUGAUGCAGCCAUGCCGCGUGUAUGAAGAAGGCCUUCGGGUUGUAAAGUACUUUCAGCGGGGAGGAAGGCGAUAAGGUUAAUAACCUUGUCGAUUGACGUUACCCGCAGAAGAAGCACCGGCUAACUCCGUGCCAGCCGCCGCAGUAA
rnacentral:rRNA from 1 species